rnacentral:snoRNA from 1 species
UUGCAAAUAUUCUCACUAUCCUGGUUUUGUGAUAAUCACGGCAGGCUAAACAUUCACUGUAUUAGAGCUGUGUAUGUAUCCACAGACCUAGUCUUUUCCCUCUAGGUCUGAUUUUUAAAAUGCUGGUGAUAAAC